UAGGGAAUCUUCCACAAUGGGCGAAAGCCUGAUGGAGCAACGCCGCGUGUGUGAUGAAGGGUUCCGGCUCGUAAAACNCUGUUGUAAGAGAAGAAUGACAUUGAGAGUAACUGUUCAAUGUGUGACGGUAUCUUACCAGAAAGGAACGGCUGAAUACGUACCAG
rnacentral:rRNA from 1 species